UCUAUCACACAACAAGCCCGAUGCAUUCUUCCACUUCAACCAACCAACUUGAAAUGUGACAACCGGUUCUUCCGGCCGGUUCAACCGAACCGGCCGGCCCGCCCUUUUAAAUACGCGAACAGAACAGUUCGCGGAACAGAACAGUUCACGCGAACAGGGAACGGGCGGACGACCGAGGGUUUCGUGGGAGAGCGAGGUAAGUUUCGUUUUCCAAUUUUAGUGAAUAAUCUUCUUCGAUGAUAAGAAUCUAUCAUUCAUUUUCUUUCUCACAGUUAAAGAAGUGUUAUUUUGGGAGAGAUUGGAAGAACGAGAGAAACGGACGAUAAGGAUUAAGGGAAAGGUUUGUUAAUUUCUUUUUGGAAUUUCUCGUAUAAAUUCUCUUCCUUUACUUCAUUCAAAGUGAAUAAUAUGUUUCUUGAAGGAUAGGGAAGAGAUUGUAGCGAAGAAAAAGGAAAUUGGAAGAGAAGGGAUUUUGAGAGUUGAGAAAUUCUCAUUCGUAAGUGAAACUCUUUUUAUAUAAGUUUAUUAUGGGAUUAUAAUUUUAAGUUUUACAUGAAAGUUAUUGUUCGAAUUUUAGGGAAUUAGAGAGUGAAAGAUCAAGUUGUAUGUGUUGAUCCCGCGAGGAUUCAACAAGAAGAGAAAUUGAUUCAAGAGAAGAUCAAGCAUCGAAGACCUGAAGAGUUCAAAGUAAUUCCUAAGA